AUUGCCUUUCUGCUUGGGCUGUCGGGAUGGUGAGAGCUGCCUUCAUCACGGGGAACCUGGGGCCCCCAUCCCUGGUUGGAGCCAGCCCCUCACAGGGAAAGGGCAGCCCUAUUAUCGGGGCACUGUGGAUGGAUUUACCUUUUCACUCUGAAGUUACAAAGCUGUGGAGACCCCGUGGCCCCUGGCCACGUGCUGCCCUGCCGAGGUGACGGCUAAUUGAGACGUGACAGCCGGCAAAACAAACCCACCAUGCCUCGGUGCGGCUGGCAGAGCUGGGUAAUGCCUGGAGUCUUGCGGCUGUGGGAGGCUCUGUGGAGAUUUGCUUGAACCAGGCCCAAAUUGUUUCAAGACGGAGCUUGAUAAGCCAGUGGAGAGGUCUGCGGGGCGGCAUGGGACACGGGCUCCACGUCACAGGCUCCAGGACGCCUGGAUCAGGUGGACAGUCUGGAAGCAGCGAGGCUUGCUGUGCCAGAAGCAUGCUCUCGCUCACUCCCUCGGUGGAUGCUCUCCCUUUUCGUUUGUGUUGCAAUAGUGUCCAGAUUGGAACCAGGUGAAAAAACGUGCUCACAAAGCUCUCGGUGAAAAAAGAGGCUUGAUUUAAAAAGUGUUUCAUUUUGAAAAGGGGAAGAAAGCCUAAACAAUCAGCGUUGUUAAAAUUUUCCAUCACUAUCUUUUUUUAUGCAAUGCCAUUUCUUUCAGUGCGUACCAAACCCCUAGCUCUCAGCAGCAAUAUGGGGCUCCAGGGAAACAGUUUUCAUUAGGAGAGCAUGGAAAAGCCCCACAGAAAUGGACCAGAGUUUUACAAAAUGGAAACAACACUUCUCAGGGAGUCUUUUUUCCAAGUUUGUAGCCCUUUCUGGUGGGAUUAGAGUGGAUCUGCCUUGUGCUGUUCCCUGCCUGAGUGGAACAUGCAGCAACGGAGUCAUCGUCCCCAAAGAGCCACAACCGAUAGCAUCUGUGCAUGCAAGUCCCCACAUGACAACCCGCUGGCUCUGUCAAUCCCUUCCAGAGCUUUAGACAAGAAUUUGAGCAAUUUUCCUAAGACUGAAAUAUAGAUUUAUACCUUCUGUUGCUAUUAAAUUGUCUCAUGCAUUUUAAAAAAAUAUAUAUAUAUAUAAAUGACAAGAUAAGGAGAGUCAAGUUUUUCUAAAACCUUUCAGUGAUUUGAAAAACUGAAUGAAACUACAACAAACUGAACGUGUUUAGCACCAUCUCAUCUCCUUCUGACAUGUCAGCUGUUGAAAAUAUAGAUGUAAUUAAAAGGAUUUGCAAAGCUGUUCUUAUGCUACAGAGACUUUUAUAUGAUUUUUAUAAUGAACUUUGGUAUUUGUAAUAUUGCACUCCGAAUCCAAAUAAAUGUUUGUGGCUUGUC